rnacentral:rRNA from 1 species
GACAGAGGGUGCAAACGUUGUUCGGAAUUACUGGGCGUAAAGCGCGUGUAGGCGGCUAAGUAAGUCGGGCGUGAAAUCCCACGGCUCAACCGUGGAAGUGCACUCGAAACUGCGUAGCUAGAGUCCUGGAGAGGAAGGUGGAAUGCUUGGUGUAGAGGUGAAAUUCGUAGAUAUCAAGCGGAACACCGGUGGCGAAGGCGGCCUUCUGGACAGUGACUGACGCUGAGACGCGAAAGCGUGGGGAGCAA